GAUGAACGCUGGCGGCGUGCCUAAUACAUGCAAGUCGAGCGAACGGACGAGAAGCUUGCUUCUCUGAUGUUAGCGGCGGACGGGUGAGUAACACGUGGAUAACCUACCUAUAAGACUGGGAUAACUUCGGGAAACCGUAGCUAAUACCGGAUAAUACUUUGAACCGCAUGGUUCAAAAGUGAAAGACGGUCUUGCUGUCACUUAUAGAUGGAUCCGCGCUGCAUUAGCUAGUUGGUAAGGUAACGGCUUACCAAGGCAACGAUGCAUAGCCGACCUGAGAGGGUGAUCGGCCACACUGGAACUGAGACACGGUCCAGACUCCUACGGGAGGCAGCAGUAGGGAAUCUUCCGCAAUGGGCGAAAGCCUGACGGAGCAACGCCGCGUGAGUGAUGAAGGUCUUCGGAUCGUAAAACUCUGUUAUUAGGGAAGAACAUAUGUGUAAGUAACUGUGCACAUCUUGACGGUACCUAAUCAGAAAGCCACGGCUAACUACGUG
rnacentral:rRNA from 1 species